rnacentral:rRNA from 1 species
GACGAACGCUGGCGGCGUGCCUAAUACAUGCAAGUCGAGCGAAUCACAGGGAGCUUGCUCCCUGUGAUUAGCGGCGGACGGGUGAGUAACACGUGGGCAACCUGCCUGUAAGACUGGGAUAACACCGGGAAACCGGUGCUAAUACCGGAUAAUUCUUUUCCUCUCAUGAGGAAAAGCUGAAAGACGGCGCAAGCUGUCACUUACAGAUGGGCCCGCGGCGCAUUAGCUAGUUGGUGAGGUAACGGCUCACCAAGGCGACGAUGCGUAGCCGACCUGAGAGGGUGAUCGGCCACACUGGGACUGAGACACGGCCCAGACUCCUACGGGAGGCAGCAGUAGGGAAUCUUCCACAAUGGACGAAAGUCUGAUGGAGCAACGCCGCGUGAGCGAUGAAGGCCUUCGGGUCGUAAAGCUCUGUUGUUAGGGAAGAACAAGUAUCGGAGUAACUGCCGGUACCUUGACGGUACCUAACCAGAAAGCCACGGCUAACUACGUGCCAGCCGCCGCCGUAACAC